UGGUUAAUUUUUCUGUUCGUUGGGAUUUAUACAAAUGACACAUAGGCCUAACAUAGAGAUCGAACUACUUUUUCAUAUUCAUACGCACCAUGCUACUUUGCUUUGUAAACAAAAACACGCAAAAUCGGCAGCACAACAGUGACUUCAAAAGAAAUUGACGGGACUGUGGAGGCUUACUAAGAAAUUUUUAGAAGAAGUACAUGUAUAAACCAUAAGGGCCAGAGCAUAAUGGUUCCUGGAAGGAUUUGUUUACGAAACCUUUUUCAUUGCUUCUGGAGAGGUAUACACCACAAAUGGCAGAGCAUAAAGGAUGGCUGGGAGAUUUGAUAAACUUACUGUUGUAGGAGAACAAUUUCAAGCAUUGAUAUAUAUUAGAAAAUUGUGCUGUCAGUCUUUUGUAUGUUGGAGGACAAGCUUCCCCGUGAAA